CAGCCAACACAUACACAUCCUCUGAAAGAAUAAUAGGGAUAGCAAGGGCAAUACCGACCAUUGCUUCUCCUGUAAUAGCUCCAGCAGCAAUUAGAAUGCCUUCUUGAAUUUCCAUAAUUGACUCAUUUUUUUGUUGUUCAUCCUCUUUUUCCA
rnacentral:ribozyme from 13 species